UACGUAGGGUGCAAGCGUUGUCCGGAAUUAUUGGGCGUAAAGAGCUCGUAGGUGGCCUGUCGCGUCGGCUGUGAAAACUCGGGGCUCAACUCCGAGCUUGCAGUCGAUACGGGCAGGCUAGAGUUCGGCAGGGGAGACUGGAAUUCCUGGUGUAGCGGUGAAAUGCGCAGAUAUCAGGAGGAACACCGGUGGCGAAGGCGGUUCUCUGGGCCUUACCUGACGCUGAGGAGCGAAAGCGUGGGGAGCAAACAGG
rnacentral:rRNA from 1 species